GGAGAGUGGAAAUGCACUCAGAUCGAUGCCUGGAUGUAAAAUGUGUCACUUGACUCCACACCAAAGAGCCCAGGUGUCCAGAAGUAAAACCACUUAGCAAUGGACACAAGGGAACAUGUCUUCUCACGAAGUGGCUGAUUCAACGCUGAAGAGAGAUUUACCACUAAAGCAAAACAGGGCCCACUGACGCUCCUGGCUGCUUUAGGGCUGCCCCCUUCAGGUCACCUGCCCAGGGCAACCUCCUACCUCUUACAACUGGGGGUUCUUUCAGUUGCCACCACCCAGAGGGCCACAAGAGGGUGCUUUUCUCCUUUCAGGUUAUGCCUUUUUGAAAUGCAGCUCCUCAUACUUCUCAGAACCAAGCGAGUUUCCUGAGCCUUGGGAAAUUCAGUACAUUCAGCUGUGGGCCAACAGACUUGAUUCUAGGGGAGAGAAAGGAGAGAGAAAUGUUCCCAGAGAUACCUUCACCUGCUCGUUGUGGGAGGACACCUGGAAAGACACCUGCAGCAUAACAAGAUCUUUGUUACCACCAACAUGGGUCAGCCUCUUCCGCAGGAAAUAAAGAGUGAUUAAUGUUGUGUGGUAGAAGAGAAGAGAAGUCUGGAAUGUGGCCUUACCUCAGGAAUAUACUCAGUUUUAGGGAAACUGAUCCAGUGUCUGAUCUAAGGAUCACAUUUGAAGAGAAGCAGAAUGAGAGCUGGGCAAAGUUGGAAAAUGGAGCCACAGAAAUAUUGACCCAGUACCACCAGGCUGAGUGCUUCUUUCUAGUAUGUUCUUUAUACACCAGACCUCUGCCGAAUAAUGGAGUUCCAGAGCUGGAAGAGAUCCUCAGAUGUCAUGAAGUCAUCCACUGCCUCCCAGCAAGUUUCAUUUGGAUGGUCUGUUCAGAUUGUCUGUUCCCAGUUGUGGGCUGGGCAAGGAGCAUCCACAGGUCUCUGGAUCUGGAAGGCUCCACAACUCUCUCACCAGCCCUUGUAUCGUUGGAAGAAAUUACACCAACAAACUAUGUACUUUUGCCGAAGAUAAUUAUUACAACACCGACCUUUCCUGGAACCAAACUUAGCAAGAAUAAGUGAUGCUCUUGUCUUAGAGGAUGUGUCAGUUAUCAAUUUAUUGCCUUACGGUUACAAUUCACUCUUCAUUGCCUGCUCCAAGAAAAUGUAUAUGGGCCUUUUAAACAUUUUUUGUUUGCCAGAUGAUACCGUGUUAAGCUUUGGCAGUAGAAAGCGCCUGAAAGACAUUUCAGGAGGAAAGAAUUUUGCUCCCUAAACAGACUCCUAGAGUGCAUGUGACUUCUCCAGCACCUGGCUUCUGCCGUGCAUGGUAGGCAGCAGCACCCAGUGCCCAGCAGCUUAUUCUUGCCCCUCUUCCUGGUGAUUUUGUG
rnacentral:lncRNA from 1 species